rnacentral:rRNA from 1 species
GAUGAACGCUGGCGGCGUGCCUAAUACAUGCAAGUCGAGCGAACGGACGAGAAGCUUGCUUCUCUGAUGUUAGCGGCGGACGGGUGAGUAACACGUGGAUAACCUACCUAUAAGACCGGGAUAACUUCGGGAAACCGUAGCUAAUACCGGAUAAUAUUUUGAACCGCAUGGUUCAAAAGUGAAAGACGGUCUUGCUGUCACUUAUAGAUGGAUCCGCGCUGCAUUAGCUAGUUGGUAAGGUAACGGCUUACCGAGGCAACGAUGCAUAGCCGACCUGAGAGGGUGAUCGGCCACACUGGAACUGAGACACGGUCCAGACUCCUACGGGAGGCAGCAGUAGGGAAUCUUCCGCAAUGGGCGAAAGCCUGACGGAGCAACGCCGCGUGAGUGAUGAAGGUCUUCGGAUCGUAAAACUCUGUUAUUAGGGAAGAACAUAUGUGUAAGUAACUGUGCACAUCUUGACGGUACCUAAUCAGAAAGCCACGGCUAACUACGUG